rnacentral:rRNA from 1 species
AAUAGAUACCCCGGUAGUCCAUGCCGUAAACGUUGGGCACUAGGUGUGGGGGACAUUCCACGUUUUCCGCGCCGUAGCUAACGCAUUAAGUGCCCCGCCUGGGGAGUACGGCCGCAAGGCUAAAACUCAAAGGAAUUGACGGGGGCCCGCACAAGCGGCGGAGCAUGCGGAUUAAUUCGAUGCAACGCGAAGAACCUUACCAAGGCUUGACAUGGACCGGAUCGCCGCAGAAAUGUGGUUUCUCCUUUUGGGGCCGGUUCACAGGUGGUGCAUGGUUGUCGUCAGCUCGUGUCGUGAGAUGUUGGGUUAAGUCCCGCAACGAGCGCAACCCUCGUUCUAUGUUGCCAGCACGUGAUGGUGGGGACUCAUAGGAGACUGCCGGGGUCAACUCGGAGGAAGGUGGGGACGACGUCAAAUCAUCAUGCCCCUUAUGUCUUGGGCUUCACGCAUGCUACAAUGGCCGGUACAAAGGGUUGCGAUACUGUGAGGUGGAGCUAAUCCCAAAAAGCCGGUCUCAGUUCAGAUUGAGGUCUGCAACUCG